UUUUUUUGGUGGGUUUGGGUUUUUUGGGGUUUUUUUGUUUGUUUGUUGGUUUGCUUUGGUUAGCUGAUUGUUUUUUCUGUUUUGCUGUUUCAGAUACAUCUUCCAGAAGAAAAAACACUAUGGCAUAUAGUUGAUAUUCUAAAGCAUGUUUCUUUCAUUCAGUAUAAUGGGCUCAAAAUGGCUUCUAUCAACUCUUACUUGGGCUGUGUUGCCUGAUAAUUACUACAUCAUGUGCACAGCUCCAUCUAACACUGAAGAAAAGAAGUAUUGAAAAUGUUAUUCACAGUUCUCAGCAAUUUGGAGAUCUACACCAAAGAGGGUCUGUAGUCCAUCAGCUUUCACAUGGACUUAAUAGUCCAAAUGACAUGUUGUGGUUAAACAUAUAUAAGGUUCAAAUCUCAAAAAGGUGUUUCAAUUAAUUGCAACAAUUAUUUUGUUGCAGUGAUGGGAAAAUGGUAGGGCACAGCCGCAAAUUGAAACAGUUUGGGUAGGAAAAAAGCGUAAAGAUGCUCAGAAGAAGAGGAAUUAUGAAUUAGACAUGGGAGCAACCAAUAAAAAGACAGAAUCUUACGAAGUCUUGGAACUGCCAAGACUUUGAAGUCUUGGCUAGAUGUGUGAUCUCGUGUGGAAGCUCAGUAAAGAAACCUGCUUCACAUCUUUCUUAGCUACUAUUCCUCUUGAUUCUACUUAGAAGUCCUUCACCCUCACACACUUCCUAUAUGUUUGGUUUCCAAAGUGCUUACCACGAUUAGAACAAAUAUGCACAAUGCUGUGUAGUUUAUAAUCUGUUUCCUGUAAUUUAAUCAAGGAAGUGUCUCAAAUAUUCUUUAAAAAACUGAUCACAAGGUGAGUUGGAUAGAUGUUUUUUUAUUUUUACUGAAAAAUUUAUAAAGAAAUUAGUACAUACUGUAUUUUUUCUCUGUUUUUAAUCAUGGUGAUCCAAGUACAUGUGAACAUAUAGCCAUGAGUUAUUUUUUCUUGGGAAAAGAAGAAAUAAAAGUGUCCUACUGUUGUGGGCUAACCCUAGUGGGCAAUUAAGCACCAUACACCUGCUCACUCACUUCCCCCAUCCAGCUUUCACUGGGUAGAAGAAAAGGAAAGGAAAAAAAGAAAAGAAAAAUAAACUCCUUUAUAUCAAGAUUCUUAAAAAUAAAUAAAUUAUUAAGCAAAAGAGGAAUAUAGAAGGAAUUAUUUAAUAAAUAGAAGAAGAGAGAAGACAAAAAGAAAAGAAAAGAAAAAAUAUGCAACAGCACUCACUCACUAUAUCCCAAGGGUAGAGGAAAAAGAUGUCUAACCUCCUAAAACUUCAUCUCUCAUUUUUAUUGCUGAGCAUGAUGUUUCAUGGUAUGGGGAAUCUCUUUGGUUAUUUCAGGUGAUUUGCACAGAUUUUUCAACUCACAACUUAUUGAGCACUGACCAAUCUAUUUACUGGGGGGAGGUGGGGAAAAGGGAGCAGAGUGAAAAGCAGAAAUGCCCUUGAAAAGAGUAUUUAUCAAAAGAUAGAUUGUUAGUGUCUUAUCAUUACUGUUUUGGUCAGAAACUUUUAACACAGCAUCAUAUGAGCUGCUACAAAAAAAAAAUUAACUCCAUCCCAGCCAGGUCUAGUGCACAUACACAAUAUCAAAAGUUACUAGCAGGUAAAAUAAAAUUAAGCAGAAGAUUUUAUUGGGUAUUUCCUUUCAAAAUCAGUACAACAAUGAUUGUCAGCAGGAGUAUUAAGGCUGUAUUUUAUAAACUUUCCAUCUACUUUCAUAUUUUAAAAGAAGCUGAAUUCAAACUGAGGUUAUCAUUUUUGUGAGGUGAUGAGAAGUGAGGAGACAAAGAAUAACCCUGGAGACAGACAAAUUGUAACAAGCAGAAAUAUGUUUUCGGUUAAACUUUUACAGAUUAAUAAAUCUGAAAGAACUGCAUUUUAAUAUUUUACUCUUAGCAAUUAUGCCUGCUAGCCUCUCUUUCUGAAGGCCCUAAACUAUACAUGGAAUGAUAUAAUUAUGAGUGCUCUCUGAUAUUGCAUUGCAUAAGUUUUCAACUGAGGUUGAUAGCUGUCAUAGAGAAAUAAAGAUAAAGCCUAUUUAUUUUAAUUAAUACAUUUAUUAAAUAAGAAGUAACAGAUUACCAACUAAAUUGAAAAGAUAACAUAUAAUUAUCAUAGAUUUAAGUUAAAAGUUAAAUGUAUAAUCAAUUAAAAGCUUAAUUCUUUAAUACAAGGAGAAUUUCGGCAACUUUUUUUUUCCCUGCUUUUGUAGUUCUUCAAUUAUAAAAGAAUAGGUCAAAUUAUCUUGCCUUUCAAUGAUGCUCUUGUAAAAGUUACAUGAAAUUAAUGUGCAAUUAAAGAAAGAUGAAAUGAACUUUUAGCUUUGCAGGGUACUUAUAUGGCUCCUAAGAGAAUAAAUUAGGGAAUAAAAGCCAAGGGCUUUAUGUCAGUGUGGAAAUUGAUUACUGCUACGCAAGGGAGUAUUAAGCAAUGAAUAAACUAAAAAAAAGUGCAAUUUUUAAACUUUUUAUUUUAGUGGAAUUUAUCAAAGUUACCACGAAAGUUGGAAGAGCUAUCUGGCUUGAUUGACCUAAGCAGAUUUUUACAAUGCACAGUGUCAUGCACCUUUAUGUGAGCAGCCAAACCAAGCCUUAGACACAUAGCUACCGUGACUAAGCGGUCACUGACUACAUCAGCAGCUUUCCCACCUCUCUUAGAUGUGGGAACCAAAUUUAAAGUAAUUAGUGUUUUCUCUCUGUGUAUGUAUACCUUGAAGUGUUUUUAUUUCUAUUUAUAUUCUUUGGGUUCAUCCCUCAAAACUUUAUCCUGGGUUCUGUGGGCAGUAGCAACAUGGGAUCAAGAGUGUAUGAAACAUCCCCACUCCACAACUGAUUUUAGCACUCCUGCUCUUGGUCCUUAUUUUUAAGAAUGAUGACCCUUCAAGCUUGUUCCCUUAGAAACACCAAAUUCCUCAUUUAUAUCCAGACUGGUCUUGACUGUAACCUUCAUGGUGACCUUGACUGUCACCAUGAACACAUGAGAGAAGAACAUAAACCACAGGUAAAACUAGCAAUUUUUAAAUUUAAUGUAAAAUUUAUGUGUUUCCUAGGAAGCACAAAAAUCACAGUGAUAAUUAUAGUGUCAGUGAUUUAAAGGAUUUAAAGUCACCCAGACAUUAGUAUUUUCUCUUACAUAUUUCUCUUACAAUUUUAUCAGUCCCAGCUAGUAUUUUGUUUUUUUCCCAAUCCACUCCAUGCUUAGAAAUUUAGAGCACUAUGAAACACAAUAAUUGAAAUAAGCAAAUAACUUUGAGACAAUCAGGGUGAAAUAUCUUUAUAGCAAUAAGAAUUAGCAAUUAUAUUGUUGGAUAAUAGUAUUAAGCAGCCUGUGAGCUAAAUAAUGUAAGCAUUUAUCAAGGAAACUUUUUUUUAAAGAAUAUCCAUAGCAACAACCUCAGAAAUGAACAGCUUUUUGGAAGAUCCAAGGAAGAAUUUCAUUUAGAUAAGCUUUUCAUAUUUCACAGAUUUAAUGUGAAACUAGUUGGGUGUUUUGAUUAUUUGAGAGGCCCUACUCAUAGUAUCUAUCAAAUUUUUACAAGUAGUGAAUAAUAUAACUUAAUAUGUUUGCUAUUUACAUAGAGAAAAUAAUUCAUUCUGUUUACUGUACUUUCUAUUUUUGUCUUAGAAAAGGAUUGGUAUCUCAGGUUGAGCUUUUGUGACCCCAGAUGAAUAAAUAGGAUAGCAAAGAGCUGUAUUCAUAACCUUUAGAUCCCUGGAUUUAUGCUUCAAUGAAACACCCCUUGCAGGAGAAGGAAUUAAAUGAGAAAAUGCCUCUUAAGAAAGGGAUAGAGAAAUCCAUUAAGUCUCAUCUGGAUUUUUUGGUGUUUCAGGGAAUGCCAACAAAUUAGCUUUUAUUAUUUGUGCCUCAAACAAUUACAAGUGUGGUGAUGUUUAGAAUACAACAUAGUUUACUGAAAAUACAAAAUGAAAAAGAAUAAUUUAAAAGAAAAUAUUUAAGGUCAUGAAAUGAAAAUAGAAUUAAAAUACACAUAGCAAUGCUUUAAUCUCAAAGCUACUAAGUUCAAUAUAUAUUGCAGAAAGGAUAAAUUAAUCUCAUUUAUUGGGAGAGAAUUAGAAAAAUAAGUACAUUGGUGAAGACUUUAAUUCUCCACUUUGAUAAAGCGAAUGAGUGUUUAACAACUUCCUUUUGACAACAAAUUCAAAACACAGUUAACUCAAAAUAUGAUUAGCUUUCUUUAACUGCUAUCACCCAGAUCUUAAAUUCUGCAUUCAACUACUUACCCAAUUUUAAACUGAAGUCAGCUGUGUCUUCUGAAAUCAAGCUGAGAACAUAUUUGAACAUGACUUGGAAGGUAACAUCUGCUGGCCUUACUCUUUUCCAGCACAGGGUGCCAAACUUAUGAUCAGAAAGAAAUUAAAGAAAAUGCACUUUGUAUGUAUGUAAAAAGUAAUUUUCACUUUCUUUCAUUAGCUUUUCCACUGUUUAUUUCUUUUUAAUGUCUUGCCUAUCCAUUUAUGAGGUAGAAUUAAGCUUCCUUAUUCACCUGCUCUACAUUGCCUUCUUCGUCUUUAACUAUCACUUUUUAAAAAUCCACUUUUUUUUAUUGCGGCCAUUAACAGACUUGCCUUAAUGGAAGAAAAUAAUCAGAAAUGGAAAUAUGUAAUGUCUUAC
ensembl:lncRNA